rnacentral:rRNA from 1 species
AGGAGCCCAGAGCCUGAAUCAGUGUGUGUGUUAGUGGAAGCGUCUGGAAAGGCGCGCGAUACAGGGUGACAGCCCCGUACACAAAAAUGCACAUAUUGUGAGCUCGAUGAGUAGGGCGGGACACGUGGUAUCCUGUCUGAAUAUGGGGGGACCAUCCUCCAAGGCUAAAUACUCCUGACUGACCGAUAGUGAACCAGUACCGUGAGGGAAAGGCGAAAAGAACCCCGGCGAGGGGAGUGAAAAAGAACCUGAAACCGUGUACGUACAAGCAGUGGGAGCCUCUUAAUGGGGUGACUGCGUACCUUUUGUAUAAUGGGUCAGCGACUUAUAUUCUGUAGCAAGGUUAACCGAAUAGGGGAGCCGAAGGGAAACCGAGUCUUAACUGGGCGUUAAGUUGCAGGGUAUAGACCCGAAACCCGGUGAUCUAGCCAUGGGCAGGUUGAAGGUUGGGUAACACUAACUGGAGGACCGAACCGACUAAUGUUGAAAAAUUAGCGGAUGACUUGUGGCUGGGGGUGAAAGGCCAAUCAAACCGGGAGAUAGCUGGUUCUCCCCGAAAGCUAUUUAGGUAGCGCCUCGUGAAUUCAUCUCCGGGGGUAGAGCACUGUUUCGGCAAGGGGGUCAUCCCGACUUACCAACCCGAUGCAAACUGCGAAUACCGGAGAAUGUUAUCACGGGAGACACACGGCGGGUGCUAACGUCCGUCGUGAAGAGGGAAACAACCCAGACCGCCAGCUAAGGUCCCAAAGUCAUGGUUAAGUGGGAAACGAUGUGGGAAGGCCCAGACAGCCAGGAUGUUGGCUUAGAAGCAGCCAUCAUUUAAAGAAAGCGUAAUAGCUCACUGGUCGAGUCGGCCUGCGCGGAAGAUGUAACGGGGCUAAACCAUGCACCGAAGCUGCGGCAGCGACACUAUGUGUUGUUGGGUAGGGGAGCG